GUCGUUUGAUUUGGACCGCUCAUU
rnacentral:miRNA from 1 species